UACGGAGGGUGCAAGCGUUAUCCGGAUUCACUGGGUUUAAAGGGUGCGUAGGUGGGUUGGUAAGUCGGAUGUGAAAUCCCGGGGCUCAACCCCGGAACUGCAUUCGAUACUGCUGAGCUAGAGUACUGGAGAGGAGAUUGGAAUUUACGGUGUAGCAGUGAAAUGCGUAGAUAUCGUAAGGAAGACCAGUGGCGAAGGCGGAUCUCUGGACAGUUACUGACACUGAGGCACGAAGGCCAGGGGAGCAAACGGG
rnacentral:rRNA from 1 species